rnacentral:misc_RNA from 1 species
GCAAAUUUUUUCAACUGUCUCUCUAUAUUCAGAUCUCCGUUGAUCCACCGCCGUAUCGGUAAAUCAUGUCGUACGCAUAUCUCUUCAAGUAUAUUAUCAUCGGCGAUACUGGAGUUGGAAAGUCAUGUCUACUUUUGCAAUUUACGGACAAACGGUUUCAACCAGUUCAUGACCUGACCAUCGGGGUUGAAUUUGGGGCUCGAAUGAUCACAAUCGACAACAAACCAAUUAAACUACAGAUCUGGGACACGGCUGGUCAAGAAUCAUUCAGAUCCAUCACAAGGUCAUAUUACAGAGGGGCUGCGGGCGCAUUACUUGUUUAUGAUAUUACAAGGAGGGAAACUUUUAAUCACCUUGCUAGUUGGUUAGAAGAUGCAAGACAGCAUGCAAAUGCAAACAUGACCAUAAUGCUGAUUGGAAACAAGUGUGAUCUGGCUCACAGAAGGGCUGUAAGCACCGAGGAAGGCGAACAAUUUGCCAAGGAAAAUGGGUUGAUAUUUAUGGAGGCCUCUGCCAAAACAGCUCAGAAUGUUGAAGAGGCUUUUAUCAGAACAGCCUCAACAAUUUAUAAGAAAAUACAGGAUGGAGUGUUUGAUGUAUCAAAUGAGUCCUAUGGAAUAAAAGUUGGAUAUGGAGGUAUUCCGGGGCCUUCAGGUGGAAGAGACGGAGCUGCUUCACAAGGAGGGGGUUGUUGUACUUGAAAAUGGACAUUUAUUGUUCGCAAACCUAUUAUGUUCCUAUGGUUGUUUAUUUGUAGUUUGGUAUUGCUCUUUAGUUUAUUCCUUUUAAUGAAAGGAUAAUAUAUGUGCAAAAAUAAGUAAAUUUGGUACAUAAAAGACAUUCUUUUUCUUU